CCCCUGCCGGGCCGAUGGUACUGUCCGCCGCGGCGGAUGGGAGAGUAGGUCGGUGCCUAAU
rnacentral:rRNA from 1 species